GUGCCAGCAGCCGCGGUAAGACGAACCGUGCGAACGUUGUUCGGAAUCACUGGGCUUAAAGGGCGCGUAGGCGGCCGCUCAAGUCCGGGGUGAAAGCCCCCAGCUCAACUGGGGAAGGGCCUCGGAUACUGGGCGGCUCGAGCGGGAUAGGGGCGGACGGAACUUCCGGUGGAGCGGUGAAAUGCGUUGAUAUCGGAAGGAACGCCGGUGGCGAAAGCGGUCCGCUGGGUCCCUCCUGACGCUGAGGCGCGAAAGCCAGGGGAGCAAACGGGAUUAGAAACCCGAGUAGUCC
rnacentral:rRNA from 1 species